rnacentral:rRNA from 1 species
AUUGAACGCUGGCGGCAGGCCUAACACAUGCAAGUCGAGCGGAUGAAGGGAGCUUGCUCCUGGAUUCAGCGGCGGACGGGUGAGUAAUGCCUAGGAAUCUGCCUGGUAGUGGGGGAUAACGUCCGGAAACGGGCGCUAAUACCGCAUACGUCCUGAGGGAGAAAGUGGGGGAUCUUCGGACCUCACGCUAUCAGAUGAGCCUAGGUCGGAUUAGCUAGUUGGUGGGGUAAGGCCUACCAAGGCGACGAUCCGUAACUGGUCUGAGAGGAGGAUCAGUCACACUGGAACUGAGACACGGUCCAGACUCCUACGGGAGGCAGCAGUGGGGAAUAUUGGACAAUGGGCGAAAGCCUGAUCCAGCCAUGCCGCGUGUGUGAAGAAGGUCUUCGGAUUGUAAAGCACUUUAAGUUGGGAGGAAGGGCAGUAAGUUAAUACCUUGCUGUUUUGACGUUACCAACAGAAUAAGCACCGGCUAACUUCGUG